GGCCUGCCCGGUGAAUAACUAUUUAAACGGCCGCAGUGAAUAACUGUGCUAAGGUAGCGUAAUAAAUUGUCUCUUAAUUGGAGAAGGGUAUGAAUGGUUUGACGUGGUGGUAUCUGUCUCAGUAAUAAUAAGGUGAAGUUUUCUUUUUAGUUAAAAGACUUGAAUGGUGUUAAAAGACGAGAAGACCCUGUCGAGCUUGAUAAAAAUAUAGAGUGUUUUUGUAUAAUAAGUUUAGCUGGGGCAGCUGAAAACCAUAAAAUAGUUUUCUUUUUUUUGAAGAUCCGGUUUAUACCGAUCAUAAGAAAAAGCUACCGCAGGGAUAACAGCGUUAUCUUUCCUGAGAGAACUAAUUGAAGGGAAGGUUUGCGACCUCGAUGUUGGAUUAAAAUUUCUUUUUGGUGUAGCAGCUAAAAUAGUAGGACUGUUCGUCCUUUAAAAUUUUACGUGAUCUGAGUUC
rnacentral:rRNA from 1 species